UCCACCCAGGAAACUUCGAGAGCUGCACUGAACUUGGCAAAACCCCACUUUUUCCUGCUGGCCGCAGGGGACUCUACAUUCCCCACCUAUUCCCAUACAACUCCAGGGCGACCCUUCAUGCUGAUUUCCCAGGUGUCCAAGAGCAGAGACAUGUCCUGCUUCCAAGAACGCUGUCUGCUCUUAUUUUAGGAAAUUCUAGGAGCAGACACAGUGAGCAACCCCAGGGAAACAAGCGCCAGUGAAAGAACUUUCUAAAAAAAGUGGCUCAUCGGAGUUGGCGCUGCUUUAGCAAACGGAGGUGAGUUUGUGGACCUUCAUCACAGCUUGGGCUCCUUUCUGUCCCUCCUGCCCUCCUGGAACAAGGGGCCCAGUGGUCUGUUGCAUGCAGAGGUUUAACCAAGCCAGGGAUGUGGCCUGACCAUCUUGUCAUUUGUCACUAAACCCCUUUGGCAGAGAAUAGGGUCAGCCCCCAAAUCCUGAGACAUGGUUGGGCCAAAUGAGUGACACAGCCUCACUGUGAGCCAGAAAAGAGGAGUCUGUGGCCUGGGGAGCCCCCACUCUGCUUCGGCAUACCUGACUUGUGCACCACAUUCCUGCCUGUCUCUGGGAAGGGACUCUGAGACUGGAUGGAAAUAACACCCUCAUACUACCUUUCAUUCUCUUUAUUUCUGUGCAAAUGGACUUUCACUUUAUUUCUGUGGAAAAGGGCAAACUGGUAAGAGCAGGAAUUGCUCUUGUCAUCCUGGGCUGCACCUUCUAGGAGCCCAGUUCUGGGUGUCUGUGAGCAGGGCCUGCUGCCCACCUCAGCCAGCUGGGUCCUCGGGACCACAGCUCUGGACACCUGAGUUCUAGUCCAGUCUGGGGUCAGCAUGCUGCCUGGAUCCAGGAAACGGCGUGAGUGGAUUAAACAAAUGCUUAGGAUCUUCUAUAAACACCAUGCACUCUGUCCUAGAGGCCUAGAACAUUCUAAAGGCAGAGUUCCAACACCUGAUGACCCUGGUGAGAUUGCACAGCUCUGCCUCCCUGACCCGGAGAAGAUGGACGGGUCCCCAGAGUGGGCAGAACAGACUGGAAUUUGGACGGGCUGGCGGUGAGACUGGACAAUGUUGUAUGUCAAGGGUUUUGAGAAGGGGCAGGGGCAGGAUUUGAACGCAGGUCUGCCUGAGUCUCAACAGUCAGGGACUCUCAGUGUCCAUAGUGCCACCACGCCCAACCACACCCAUACACUUCCUGUCACUCUCUCUCUUUCUUUCUCUUUGCUGCUCUCAGCAGCCCUGAGAAACAGAUUCAGAGACAGGAGGGGACCAGCUCUUCUUUCCUCAGGACCCAGCCCCAGCGUUGAGCUGCAGUUUCUUCCCACUACUGGCCUCUAUCCCACCUAAGAUUUUGCCAGAGACAGCCAUACCUGGCCCUAUCCUGUCUAAGCUGUGGCAGGAAAUCACUGCCAGCAGACAUGAGCUCGACCGAUGGCGGGAAGACAUGAUGGGGCAGGCAUGAGGACGCUUCAGGAGGAAAUUUGACUGUGCAGUGCGCCUCAUGUGCCUUCCGUUUCUUCAUUAAGAGACGAAAUUCUCUAUGACCAGCUCUAGAACUUGGCCCAGACUAAGAUGUGGCCACUCCAGUUUGCAAAAUGGCUCUGUCCUGCAGCUUGCAGAGGGGGAUCCAGGAGUGCAAGGGAGAAGAAGGCAGGAAGGGACCUUUCUUCCCCUGUGGAGGUAGGUCUGGUCACACCCCUCCCCUGCUGGGACCGGAUGCUGAUACCACAGCCAAAGUCCAGGGUCCUCCAGUCCUGGAGACCCACGCCUGCUGCCUGCCCCUGCCUCCGCUCGGUCUCUGCCUGGUCCCUCUGGGCUCAGCCUCGCUGACACAGUGAUGGGCUUCAAUCAGCCUUGAAUAUUAUCUCCAAUGUCCCUUCUGCCAGGAAGCCCUCUCUGACCUCUCAGGCCAGAUCAGGAGACCACAGUGGACUCGAGGCCUAAGGGCUUCCCCAGCUCUGCCCAGACUUGUCCAAGUCAGGAGGGGCCAAGGAAAGUGAUGGUGUCACAAGACCUGGCUCACACUGAGUCCCUGGCAGCACCCAGGCCAGGGCCAUUCAGGCAGACUUCGGUGAAUACUCGCUGUCAGGCCCUGAAAUGUGUACUCUCUUGUUUCUUUAAAACAAAAGGAUCCACCCAGCCUGGUUAACUCUUCCACAGGGAAGAAAAUGGAGGCGCAGGGAGAUAAAACCCUUUGUCCACUUUCCCCCAAAAUGCUUGAUACCCAGUUGUGUCUGGGUGCAGAGCUGGGCAUUGGCCCACUUAGAACAGGGAGCUGGGGCCUCUGCUUUUGCUGGACACGGUGGUCACGUGUAUGCAGGGAAAGGCAGCCAGGUGUAGGGGAGGCCAGGGGCCCCCGAGAACCCUGUGCAGGGGACAAAAUACAGGAAGCUUCUUCCCCAGGGGCAAAAGGGCAGUCUGCUAAAGGCCAGUGCAUGCUCCUGCAAUCUAUUGGUGGGGAGAGAUAUCCAUGGAUAGACCAGAGUCAACUUUAGAGUCACCUAGAACCAGGCUGGUAGCCAUACCUCUGCUCCCACUCCUGCAAGUUCAGACCUAGGAACCCCCAGAGCCAACCAGAGACUUGCAUCUGGGGCUCCUACUGAGUAUAGGCAGUAACGCGGUUCCCCAACAAGGUGGCCACAGCCCGCCUUUUCCUAGGUCACCAGCUCGGGUUGGUGACUGUGGAGCAGCCUGAGCUCUCGUCUGGGCGGAGAAGGAAGAGGCUGAGGCAGGGGUCAGAGGCUCUUGGGAAAGAGCAACAUGGGAGAGUGACUCUGAAAAGGGAGGCAGGGGCCAGUCUGUCCACAGGGUGACAGCAGAAACCUCGUCCCUUGCCGGCUAGACCUGUACAUCCCUUUGUUGAUGGGGUUCUUCAGCAGCAGGCAGCUGUCCCCCAGCCCCAGCUCUGCACACGGGGACCUGGGCCCAUGGAACUGGACCCAAGGCAGCCCUCCAUCUUGUAGCCCCUUUUCCCUGACAUUCUGUCCCCACCAUGAGCCCAGGGUGGCUGUUCCAAAAGGAACUGUUGAUGGGCCCAGAGGUUCUAUGGAUGAAAAAUGAGGGAGAGGACACAAUGCCAGCUGAACCCAAGGGGAGGCUUUGUCCUGGUCUGGCAUGAAGCAGGAAGGAAACAGGGCAGGUGGCUUUCGCUCUGUCACGUCUAUGACGGAGGGCCAGGGAGUGAGCUGGUUCAACCUUCUUCUCACAGUCAGGAGCUCCCUCUGUGGGGCAGACGGCACUGAGGCGGGGCGUGCAGAUGUUGGAGCUGAACAUCCACACCCCAGCUCUCCACCCGGACAGGGAUUGAGAAAAUGUGGAGAACAGAUUUCAGUCCAGGGCUGCCUGCCCCUAGAGCACCCUGACUGGUGGGCCAGGGGUCCUCAGCCCCCAUGACACUUUGAACCGUCCCCUCUGCCUCUGGCUGUCCCAGUCUGAGCCCUCUGUCUCUCAGGAAGUUCCCCCUCCUUCUCACCUGGGCCAACGCAGUCAGCCUGAGCAACCCAGUUAAGGCUAUGAGAAUUCUCGCUUUUAUUCAGGUUAUGGGGAGCAGUGGUGGCAAGGAACAGGAGAGGCUGCCAUGAGAAAGUCUGUUCAUCUUAGCACUUUAUUGGGCAGAGGAAAGACCAUGCUGAACUGAGGAGCUUCCCUAACCUUCAGCCAUUCAUUCCUGUGCCUGUGUGGUGUUUGGCCUGCGGGUCUUUUUUGAGACUUUGACCAUUCAUUCCUCCAGCAGAGUCGCCCGCCUCCCGGGAGAGCUGAGCUAAUACUGUGGAAGAGGUGACACAGGGGUAAAAUCCUUGGCAGAAAAAGAGGAGAGGAGUUUCCACCUGGAGUUGAUGCUUCCAAGUAUAUAUGAGCUUUUCACAGUGACUCACAGUGGAUAUGAUUAUACCAGGAGGCAGCGCCUGAACAUAAUCCACAGCCAAGGGUGAUUUCACAGGAAUUGACAAAAACUCUGUGCCGGGUGCAUACUUCCUUCUUUCUUUUUGUGUUGUUGUCUUUUUGAAACAGGGUCUCACUAUGCAGCUUAGGCUGACCUUGAGCUGACUUUGUAGCCCAGGCUGAUCUUGAACUCAAAAACAAUCCUCUUGCCUCAGCCUCCCGAGUGCUGGGAUUACAGCUGUAUACCCGAACGGUGCCCGGCCAUACAUGUAUUUUCUAAUCCUAUUUUAAUUUAAAAAUAUCCGUGAUCACAAACUCAUGAUUAUACUGAGGCGGGACAGAAGAUAAAGGGGAAAAUAAGUAGAAAGGAGAAAGUACAGUCAUAGGCAUGAUCUGAGUCACCCAAGUUAUCCACAUCUCCACUCCAUCUCUUUCUACCCUGGGGUUGUGCCCAUGCAUUCCAGAAACUCAAGACCCAGCUUAUUCUCUUCUUUUGGUGGUACUGGGGAUCAAACACAUGACCUUACAGUUACCAGGCAUGUACUUAUGCCACUGAGCUAAAUCCCAGGUCCCCCUUAUUCUCUUCUUAUAUCAGUUUAGUGCCCAGCCAGAACUCUCAAAGCCCUUUGGCUGACACCCUAAUUCCUGUAAGCUUGAUAAAUGGACUAAGACAACGGAAUUUUAUCUUGAGGCUGGACCUGAAGCUGCCCGGUAGGUGACUAAGAGCAGGAUGAAGCUUGGUAAUGUUAUACUAAGAUGCUGAAAAAUUAAAACAAUUGAUUAAAAGAUAAUUAACAAAAAAGAUAUUAAAAAGAUAGUUAUUAGCAAUAUUGUCAUUCUGUACUGAGCUCGUUACCCUAGUAACCAAGCACCAACCACAUAGUUAUAAAUUAACUGACCGCUUCGUUAUGCUGUUCUGUAAUGCGUCAUCCCCCCACCUUAGUGACCUGUGUACUAUGUCAACUUUUGUUCCCUUUGUAAGAGACAAAUGAUGCUGUGUCAACCAUUGUUCCCUUUAUGAGAGACAAAUGUUCCUGGAAUUGGCAGACCAAGGGCUAUGAAUUGGCUAACCACCCACUGUGAAAUGCCUCUGACCUCAAGCAAAGAGGAACAAAGGCUCACCUUAUUUCUGUUUCUCAUCACUAUGUACUUAAUGAUCAGUGAGCUAAUCAUAAAUGAACUAUAAAAAUCAGUCAAAACUCUAACUCAGUUGCACAGCUUUGCAAGUUCCAUCUGCACUGUGUCGCUGGGCCAGCUAAAAUAAAAGCGCUUCUUCCUAAAAA